rnacentral:tRNA from 1 species
CGGGGCGUAGCGCAGUCUGGUAAGCGCGCCUGCUUCGGGAGCAGGAGGUCGGAGGUUCAAAUCCUCUCGCCCCGA